UCUAUAGUCGCCAGACUGUGCAGGGGCGGUUUAACAUAUAAUUAUGUCGUUUCGAACUGAUGCUAUCUUUAUUUUUAAUUUCUAACAUAGUUUUUAGGUUUAGUUGGAAAGGCAUCUUCUCACAAAUCAGAACUCCUCGUUCACUUCCCUCUUCGUGCAGCGCUUUGUCCGACCGCCAUAGCAGGUGAUUCUCUCUCUUCUCUUCUCUCAUCUCACAGUCAAUCCUUUAUCUACUUUUCUCUCCUUUCCUACUCAUCUUCUCGCUGAGGCCCUUAAUUUGAAAUACGGAAAGGAAUGGUGAAGCUUGUGGUCUACGAUGAAGCUCUCAUGGAGUUUGCAAAACUCCGUUGCAACUUUAAUGAUCUCAACUCUCAAAUUUAAACAAAGUUCAGCCAAGUCCUUUCUGUUUUUAUCUCAUUUUUCUCUAUAUAUUGACAUCUGUAAAUAUAACUGUUAGAUACUUAAAUUUGUGCUUAGCUUCCAUUUUUAAUUUUUUAAUGUAUCUUAAGCACAAUUUGAUUAGUGGACGAAAUUUGGUUGAGUGAAGAAAGAGUUGCGAGUGAAGUAAAGUUCUUAUGGCUGUUUUGUGACCUUAUUCUCCAGAAAUUGAUUUUGAAAAUGAGUGCAACUGUGGGCAGUGAGCUCAAGUGGAGGAUGACAUUUGGUGCAGACACUACCUGAGGUAGAAUUUUGAAAAUGUUAGUGAAAAUUUAUUCCGGAAAAAGCAAUAAUCUAGUAUCCUUAGGUAGUAUUUUAUACCCUAAUUUUCUUGGGAAACAUUCUAUAAGUCCAUCUUCUUCCAAGUUAUUGCAUUCAUUUUGUCUUGGACUUCCCUUUUUUGUAUCCAACAAAAUUGUGUGAGAUAAAAAAAGAUGGAUAUGUUUCAUUGAGAUUUAUUUAUUUUUACCCAAUGAAUACACAGGUUAUACAGGAUCAUACAAUAUCUGAACAAUUGAUAAGAGGCUAAUCUUUUGCUCUUAUAUCUCUUACUUUACUUUCCCCUAUUCUUUUAGAGCAGUAGGACAUAAUCUGGUUGAUAGAAAUAUAAGCAGGUUUUAGUAAAUUGAUCACAUUUAAACAGUCAAUAUGACUACAAUUUUGAAAAUGGUAUCUUAUUUGAGAAAAAAAAUACUUAGCAAAUGGUUAUUCGAUGUAGUGCCGAUACUGAAAAACCUUUUAAAAGAAAGACUAUCUACUCCAUAGAUGAGAAAUAGCACAUUGGUACAAGCAGAACUAUCCUAAAAGCAAGGAGUGGUAUGUCGGCAAAGCUAUUGCAUUAAGUGUCAUUUACAUGUCCUUAGAGUGAUAGGUCCAAUUAUAUUUUCACUGGUCUUUGAUGGUUUUGGAGAAACUGCAAAAGGAAUUUAUGUUUGUCCUAUUGCGAGUUUAUAUUAAUUACUAAUUUAAAUUGGAUCAAUCAUGGUACAGGAAUAAAGAACUUUAACAAAUUAAAUGAGCUAGAUUUAGGCUAAUGCAAAGAUUGUUUUAACUACUCUGUAGAUACGAAGUUAGAAUAAUGUUUGUCAUUAUCAAAAAAGUCAUAGUAGCAUUUACGAUACUGGGUAAUGAACUUAAUAUAUUUUAAUUCCAUUAUUUGGCUUACUAUCCCUCAGCAUUACAAAAAUGAAACUUAAGGUACUUGUGGUAGUUUGUUAAUUAUUUUAGUUUGUUCUUAUACUUGCACAUUAUAUUGUCACUGAUGUCUAGGUGAUAUCAUCUCCCAAUGUAAGAUGCAAUGAAGUUUCUGUUUGUUGACAUUAGGUCGUACCCCAUGGAAAAAUUAUCUAUAUGUAUAUCCUUACUAAUUUUUCAGUAGUUGUUCUAUUGUUCAAAGUUGGAGGACACACCAAAAGUCUUACCUUCUUUUCAUGUCAAUAUCGUCUAUUAAUAUAUAUACUUCUUUACAUCCUAUUGACUUUGUAAGAAUGGAGAUGCAAGAAAUGCGGUGGACUAUGAAAGCUCACUGAAAUCAUCACAGUGCCAAUCCUUUCCUUGAAGCUUUCUGAGAACCUCGGUGUCUAAGGUAUAAACUCCAUGUUUCUUGAUUCAUGAGAUAUCUAAUUGGAUCAUUUUUUUUCUAUUAAACAUACACAUAAUAGAUAACAGAUAAUUCAUGAAUAAAAUUUAAUGCACAUUUAGUCGGGGCUUGUCCCUUAAGGUUUAAAAUCUGCCUCUGUGCAAUGACUUUAUCAAGGUGCGUAUAUGACAACAUGACAUUAACAAAUAAAAUUAUGAGGUUAAUUGAGUGGAAAUCCAUAGGACAACAUGCCAGGGGAAGGGAUAUUGAUUUUGCGCCAUAUCUUUUACCCUUUUUUGGUCACUAAAUUUGAUUCUAUUCAAGUGCAAUGGAAGUCCAUCAAGUUCAUCAAUCACUGAGGUCUAAAACCUUCAGAGCAAAAUCCUAGACCUUGUCAUCAAUCACAAUAAGCUAUAUAUCAUGUUUUAUAACAGGAGAAAGUUAUGUUAAUUCAAUAAUUCUGCUGUCACUUUAGCACUAACACUCGGUAAUAUGAUAUUUUUUGCAUUAAACUUGUUUCUUGGUCGAUUAUUUAGGGAAUCUAUGUUGUAGUAUGACUAUAGAUAAACUAGCAUAAUCAUACUCUUCAGAGAAAUUUAUAUUACCAUAUACUCAAUUUAUAAAUUUUUGUGUUCGAAAAAAUUUCCUGUUUGACAAAUAUUGUAAAAAGUAUGAUAGUUAAAUAUGACUAUGGCACUUGCUUUUGGAUACUUGUAAGGUAAACUAAGACAAGUCGAUAUACACCAGUAGUCAACAUAUACAAAGUAUAAGCUUGAAUGUCUUAUACACGAGUGAUAUUAUAUGUUGGCAUAUAAAAAGAAAAAGGAAAUAAGGGCAGAAAAUGUUGGAAGGGUCUUGUUUUUCCUUCUUCUUUUACAUGUUAAUGGACUUGUGCAGGUAACUCUGUUCUUCUUCUUUCUCUGGAUUCUUAUAUUGAAUGGUUAAAGGGGUUGACUAAAAAUUCUGCAGGUUAUAUCUGCCGCCUACAAUCUAUUCAGUAGUUUAAGAAAUGUGAAUAUAUUAGUUUGUACCAUGAACCUUUGACAUGCUUGCAAUUCUGAAUAUAAAGUUUUAUAUUUCGUACGUCAUGAUUGAAUUUUGAUUAUUUCUUGCUUAUUGCUUCAUUUUAUUUUGUAG
rnacentral:lncRNA from 1 species